UUGGUUGACAAGGCUCAUCAAGAAGCGGCCUACUGUGUUGUCAGCAGACACUUUCCCAGACUGAGCACAAAACAAAGACACAAUGAGGUGCUGUCCUGUCAGGGACUGUCAUGUCAGCAUCAGACCGGGGGGGAUGCCCACCAUCCCUUGCUCUUCCCUUCCUAUUUCUCACCAGCACAUCCUCAGCAUACUGCAAUACAGUGCUUAGAGCAUCCUGGAUCCGGGCUGAGGCCCCUCCCACUUGCUGUAAGUCACUUGAGAGUCCAAUCACCCGGUUGGGGCUAAAACAUGUCUUCAUGAUGAGGUCAACUGUGAGAGUAUGGGACAGGCAGUAAAGAGGUAACAGAGAAUACCUGUCAUCACAAGAGGAAAGAGGUCUCUAACCACCUACUAACUCCCUCCAUGCCUUCUGGAAGCAGUCAGCCCCCAAAUCCCUGCUCUUCCCCUCACUGCACCUGCUUGCUAACUACUGCUUCUGGCCUUGUAAGGAUGACUGUGUGGACCACGACACUGACAAUUUCCCACCCUGAAUAAACCUUCAACUUUCAGUCAA
rnacentral:lncRNA from 1 species